GGGCUCGUAGCUCAGCGGCAGAGCGGUCGGCUCAUAACCGAUUGGUCGCAGGUUCGAUCCCUGCCGAGCCCACUA
rnacentral:tRNA from 1 species